rnacentral:rRNA from 1 species
CAGUCGAGCGAGAAUUUUACUAAUGAACCUUCGGGUGAUUUAGUAAAAGGACAGCGGCGGACGGGUGAGUAACGCGUGGGUAACCUGCCCUAUACACAGGGAUAGCCUCGGGAAACCGGGAUUAAUACCUGAUAAAACUCUAGUAUCGCAUGAUACAUGAGUCAAAAAUUUAUUGGUAUAGGAUGGACCCGCGUCUGAUUAGCUAGUUGGUAAGGUAAAGGCUUACCAAGGCGACGAUCAGUAGCCGACCUGAGAGGGUGAUCGGCCACACUGGAACUGAGACACGGUCCAGACUCCUACGGGAGGCAGCAGUGGGGAAUAUUGCACAAUGGGGGAAACCCUGAUGCAGCAACGCCGCGUGAGCGAUGAAGGCCUUCGGGUCGUAAAGCUCUGUCCUAAGGGAAGAAUAAAUGACGGUACCUUAGGAGGAAGCCCCGGCUAACUACGUGCCAGCAGCCGCGGUAAUACGUAGGGGGCGAGCGUUAUCCGGAAUCAUUGGGCGUAAAGGGUGCGUAGG